rnacentral:lncRNA from 1 species
UGACAUCUUCCAAGGACCACUUCUCUUCAGAAAUAUUACCAUUGGCCCUAACGAAACAGUCAACAUACUUGCAUACAAAAAUGCCACAGUCUGAGUUGUUUUGUUGUUUCGGUCGAAUCUUUAAGGUCUGCAUAGUAGGAUUACCGCUGGGCCACUUAAGCAUCGGAUUACCAUUUCACAAACAAAAUGGUAUCAAAUGUACCUGCAUGUACAAAGUAGUUGGUUAAUAAUUUUUUAAUAUUAAAGGACAUUAUAAAAUUAAAAUAUUUUAA